UUUGUGAUUAGCCUGAAAGAAAUUAAAAUUCAUCUGAAUCAUAACUUCUCUUUAUAGAGCCAUUAUGAAUUUUACACGUAAUUCUUAUUUUCCUUUAUGAUCUUACUUGGAUUGUAUGAUAGGCAGCACAGCUGAUUGCUUUUGAGCAUUUUAAUGCGAGAGGGAAUCACCCCCCAUCUCGCGAGGCAAUGUACUGUAAAUAGCCAGGCAGUGUUCUUACGCGUGCAAGUCACAUAGUGGCUUGUAAAUGUUACAGCCUUUAUUUAAAGGUGAAAUGAUGAAAGCAAAGUGACCACUAAGGAUUUAAUAACUUGUAGGGAUCCAAUUUUCUGUUGCAUAACCUCCUUUUCCUUAGGAAACAUUUAGUAGUGUGCAAUUUGCAGUGGCAAAUCAGAUAGGAGGACAAAAAUUUUAAAACGGCACACGAGCUACGUAAAUAAAAAAGGAAACUGCACGUGGGAUUCUCUGUUCUACAGAAGGGUAAUAGGGGUCUGCUAAUGAGCAAAGGAGCUUACCAAGGAGUGAUCAGUCUUAUUCUACCUGGACUUAGGUAGCUGUAUGCAGACCAGUGAGAGAGAGCCAUCAAUUUCAUAGUAGUUAAUUCAGGAAAACUAAACCCUGAUGCACUGAAAGUUGGAGUAGAAAAAUAAAUGUAAUCAAAUCAGAAGGUAAAGGAAGAUAGGUCCUGUGAUAAGAAAUUAAACAUUGCUACAUAGUAUACAUUUUUAAAAUCUUAGUUAAAAUAACAGUCAUUUAAAAAAGAAUCACUUUGAACCUGGGAGGCAGAGGUUGCGUGAGCUGAGAUUGCCUCACUGCACUCCAGCCGGGGCGACAGAGCAAAACUCCAUCUAGAAAACAAACAAACAACAGAAAGGUUAUUGGAAUAGGGGUCACAUAUUUAAGGCAAACCUGUAAAUGUUUACUCCACGUCUAAGAUAUUUUCACAUAUUACAACAUAUGUU
rnacentral:lncRNA from 1 species